AUUGAACGCUGGCGGAAUGCUUUACACAUGCAAGUCGAACGGCAGCACGGGUGCUUGCACCUGGUGGCGAGUGGCGAACGGGUGAGUAAUAUAUCGGAACGUAUCCAAUAAUGGGGGAUAACUAAUCGAAAGGUUGGCUGAUACCGCAUACGCCCUACGGGGGAAAGCUAGGGACCUUCGGGCCUGGCGUUAAUGGAGCGGCCGAUAUCUGAUUAGCUAGUUGGUGGGGUAAUGGCCUCCCAAGGCGACGAUCAGUAGCUGGUCUGAGAGGACGACCAGCCACACUGGAACUGAGACACGGUCCAGACUCCUACGGGAGGCAGCAGUGGGGAAUUUUGGACAAUGGGCGCAAGCCUGAUCCAGCCAUUCCGCGUGAGUGAAGAAGGCCUUCGGGUUGUAAAGCUCUUUCGCAAGGGAAGAAAACUUAUCCUCUAACAUAGGAUGAGGUUGACGGUACCUUGAUAAGAAGCACCGGCUAACUACGUGCCAGCCGCCGCCGUAAGAC
rnacentral:rRNA from 1 species